AUUGACUUGUUAAAAACAUGAAUGAAUUCAGCAAGUACAUUUAUGGUCUAUCCACAUUGUUAAAACAGUACUUAAAAAUAAAAUAAAAAUGAUUAUCCAUUAUUUACAGGAAAUGUGGAAAAAUGACUUUAAGACCUGGAACAUUAUGGGGAACAAAACAGGGCAUGAGAAUGAUUCACAGGCUGCCUAUAUGGAUUACAGCAAAUGGAUUUAAACAUGACAUGAGUGAAACUCAAAGAUCUGUCUUUCUCUGGAGUCUCCUGCUAUUGAAACUAAGACUCCUGACAUAGCCAACGUCAAGCCAUCUUGGGUGCAUACUAA
rnacentral:lncRNA from 1 species